CGACCCCAGGUCAGGCGGGAUUACCCGCUGAGUUUAAGCAUAUCAAUAAGCGGAGGAAAAGAAACUAACAAGGAUUCCCUUAGUAACGGCGAGCGAACCGGGAAGAGCCCAGCUUGAAAAUCGGACGUCUUCGGCGUUCGAAUUGUAGUCUGGAGAAGCGUCCUCAGCGACGGACCGGGCCUAAGUUCCCUGGAAAGGGGCGCCAGAGAGGGUGAGAGCCCCGUCGUGCCCGGACCCUGUCGCACCACGAGGCGCUGUCUACGAGUCGGGUUGUUUGGGAAUGCAGCCCCAAUCGGGCGGUAAAUUCCGUCCAAGGCUAAAUACGGGCGAGAGACCGAUAGCGAACAAGUACCGCGAGGUAAAGAUGAAAAGGACUUUGAAAAGAGAGUCAAAGAGUGCUUUGUUAUAAAUCACAUAUUGGAUGGACUCCAUAACCGUGGGCCUAAUCCAUAUUCUAGAAGGCCCAUGACCAUGUCCUUGAAGGCCCAGGCCCAUGUUCUGGAAGAUUCUCCUUAUGACGGUCUAUAUUGUACUUAGUAGGCUUUUGGGCUUUAGGGUUUACUAACCCAAUGAGGAUUUGUCUCCUCUCAACAUGUAUAUAUAUGUAUCGAACCUCAUUCAUUAUUCAAUACAACUAAGAGUUUUACAACACGUUAUCAGCACGACUUGCUCUUAACGAAAACCCUAAAAACCCUAACCCUAAAAAUCGCGGUUACUAUUCAUCGGCGACACUAUUCAUCGGCGACACUGUUCAUCGUCGACACUGUUCAUCGCGGUACUGUUUGCGGUUCGUUGCAGCAGCGUGAGUUACUGAGGUCUUUAGCUCCCAGUUCAUUACCAUACAACCCCAUAAGGUGAAAGGUAACAUCAAAACCCUAAAGCUAAAGAACCAACAAUUGAACUUGAAAGUUAAGCAAAGAGAAACCCUAAAACGAAUGAUGAUUGAUUAAGUGAUUGCUUUGCUUGUUUGCUCGAUUGCUUGACAUGUUUAGGUUGCUAGAAAGCUUGUUAUUGUUUAUCCUAAACCCUAAAUCGAAAACACUCUAAUCGGAUCAAAACCCUAAAUUCUAAAAUCGUUUGGUUGAGGUUGCUUAGGGCGUUUUAGUUUGAUUGUUUCUGUGGUUGCAUGCAUGAAUUGUUAAAGAGAUAAAAUCCCUCAUGUUGCAUAAACCCUAAAACCCUAAUCAAAAUAGGAAAUCUGAAAACCCUAAAAUCAUAAGCAAAAGAGGAAAUCUAAUCCUAAGCAAAAGAGGAAAGUCAAAUCCCUAAGUAAAUCGAUUCAUGGUUCGGUCUCAAAUACCGCAUGACACUAACGAUUACAUGAUUUUGACUCAAAACUUUUCCUUGUAGAUGUUGAAUUACAACUUGUACUUUACUGCCCUAAAUCUCUUAGGAGAUAAUUAUUUAAAAUGGGCAAUGGAUACUAAGAUUAUCCUAAAGUCAAAAGGACUUGGUAAAUGUAUCUAAUAAGGCAAUAACGCCAAGAGAGAAAGAUAGAUACAAGGCAAUAUUAGCCACCGUCUUAUUGAGAGUCUCAUAGAUUACGACCUCAUAGAUUAACCCCAUUACCUAAUGCCAAUAAGGCCGCAGAGGAUAAGAAAGAAUCCAAAGAAUCUAACCACGUCUAAAGUGAUAGACCACACGGCCGUGACCGUGGUGGAUGGAAAGGACGUGGUUGUGGCCACUAUAACUCAUCCGGCCGUGGGAACCACUAUAACCGUGGAUGUAGACCCAAUUCCGGCCGUGGUCGAGGGCGAGGACGAUGUGGUAUUUCCAAACCACAACACUCGACCAAAUGAGUAUGCCAUAGAUAUGGAAUGGGAAACCAUUGGGCUAAGAUAUGUAGGACUUCCAAACAUCGUUGUGACCUCUAUCAAGAGAGUGUAAAAGGGAAGGAUCCUAAAGCCCAUUUGGUAUAUAAAGAUGGUGAACAUGAUCAAGAUGAUCUAAUAGAGUAUGAAACUUCUGAUUGCAUAAAAGAAUCAAGUUAAUAAAUCUUACUUCGACAUCAAAACCUCUAUGUUAUUCUUUGCAUUUUAUGUGUUCAUUGAUUGUUAUUUGCUUGAAUUUAUUUUAUAUUAUUUUAUAUUCAGAACAUGAUUCUUGUCCAUAUAAGAAAUAACUAAGGACAAGAAGAUACUUGUGGUUGAUAGUGGAUCAAGCCACAUGAUCUUAAAAAGACAAGAUAUUUUCUAAAUCUCAUAAUGAAAAAUGCCAAUAUUAGCACCAUAGCGGGUAUAGCUAGUCUUAUUGAGGGCCACGGUCAAGCCCAUAUACUUUUAUCAAAGGGCACGCAUCUUGAACUAAGCGGUGCCUUGUUUUCACCCAGCUCAAAAAGGAGCUUAUUGAGUUUUAAAGAUAUAAGAUUGGAUGGUUUCCAUAUUGAAACAAAGGGUGAAGGGAACAAAGAAUUCCUAAAUAUAAUUGAGAUCACCAAAGGACAUAAGAAAGUCCUAGAGACUAUACCCGCAUUAUCCACUAGUCUCUACUAUGCUAAAAAUCGAUAUGAUCGAAGCUAAUAUGGCAAUGAACAAAAAAUUUCAUCGAGAAAUUCACUUUAUGGCAUGACCGGCUUGGCCAUCCGGGUCAUAGUAUGAUGCGUAAACUAAUAACUAAUUCAAAGUGGCACACCCUAAGAGAGAAAAGAGUUAUCCCUAAGAAUCUCACGUGUGAAGCAUGUUCACAAGGGAAACUCAUUAUAAGGCCAUCACCGGCUAAGGUAAAUAAAGAGACCUUCAAUUUUCUGGAAAUGAUACAAGGGGAUAUAUGUGGACCAAUACACCCACCAUGUGGGACGUUUAGAUACUUUAUGGUCCUCAUUGAUGCAUCGACAAGAUGGUCGCAUGUUUGUUUAUUAUCCUCUAGAAACCAAGCAUUUGCUAGGUUGUUGGCCCAGAUCAUAAGACUAAGAGCCCAUUUUCCAGAUUUUCCGCUUAAGACUAUACGUCUAGAUAAUGCCGGUGAAUUCACGUCCCAAGCGUUUAAUGACUACUGUAUGUCCAUGGGGGUAAGUGUGGAACAUCCCGUGACACAUGUACAUACACAGAAUGGAUUAGCGGAAUCCUUCAUUAAACGAAUUCAAUUGAUAGCUCGACCAUUACUCAUGAGGUCGAAGCUUCCAGUAGCCGCUUGGGGACACACUGUUUUACAUGCAUCAGAACUUAUACGCAUAAGGCCAUCUAGUGAACAUAGAUAUUCACCAUCCCAAUUACUCAUGGGUCAUGAGCCAGACAUAUCCCAUCUAAAGACUUUCGGGUGUGCCGUAUAUGUACCGAAUGCUCCACCACAUAGAACAAAGAUGGGACCUAAAAGGAGGAUGGGAAUAUAUGUUGGAUUUGAUUCUCCCACCAUUAUUAAGUAUCUAGAGCCAACUACGGGUGAUCUACUUAAGGCUAGAUACGCGGAUUGUCAUUUUAAUGAAUCCGAAUUUCCUACUAUAGGUGGAGAGACGAACAAGCUGGUCAAAGAAAUAUCAUGGAAUCAAACAUCCUUAAAUUGGCAAGAUCCUCGGACUCUGGCAUGAGAAUCAGAGGUCCAUAAGAUAAUAAAUUUGCAAAAGCUAGCUAAUGAAUUGCCAGAUUCUUUUGAUGACCCAAAGAGAGUUAUAUAAGCGUACAUACCAGCUUGUAAUGCACCAGUACGUAUUGAUGUUCACAAGGAACACAAUCAAAUUGCUACAGAGUCUAACACACGUAAUAAACGUGGUAGACCAAUAGGUUCCAAAGAUAAAAUCCUCGGAAAUUAAAGAAAGGUGCAAUAGGAACCGAGGUUAUUAAGGAAACCAUCCUAGACAUAGAGAUAAGGCCGGCCGGCUCUAAGGUACAGGUACCAUAUAAUGUAGCUUGGGACGCCAAGCUGCAAAGUAUUAAAGGUCCUGACUAUAAUAAAUCUCAAUCGAUGAUAUCAUGUCUGGAACAUAAUGGAACAUAUAAGAAAUGUCGACAUAAGAUAAUUUUGCGCACAAGGUAGCAACUGAAAUAAAUGAGGAUCAGGAGCCCACGUCUAUACUAGAGUGCACUCAAAGACUUGAUUGAUUAAAAUGGUACAAGACCAUAAAACGUGGAGCUAAGAAUCAUUAAAAUGGUACAAGACCAUAACCAGUAGGACACAAGUGGGUCUUUGUGAAGAAAAGAAAUGAGAAUAAUAAAGCGUGAGAUAUAAGGCACGGCUUAUAGCACAAGGAUUCUCACAAAGACCGGGGAUAGAUUAUGAAGAAACAUACUCCCCUGUGGUGGAUGCUAAGACAUUUAAAAUUUUGCUAAGUCUGGCUAUAUAUAUAAAAGAGAAAGACUUGAUUUGCGGCUAAUGGAUGUAAUGCCCGCAUAUUUAUAUAAGUCCACUGGAUAAUAUAUAUGAGAUUACCAGAGGGUAUUGAGCUCAAAGAUAAAGAUAAGAAAGGGUCUCGGGACCAAUACUGCAUAAGGCUGAACAAAUCGCUUUAUGGACUGAAACAAAGUGGGCGCAUGUGGUACAAUAGAUUAAGCGAUUACCUAGUCAGAGAAGGUUAUAAGAAUGAUCCCAUCAGUCCAUGUAUCUUCAUAAAGAAAUUCACAAACAAAGGAUUUGUGAUAAUAGCAGUAUAUGUGGAUGACUUGAACAUCCUUGGAACCUCUGGGGAAAUCGCCCAAACAGUCGAAUAUCUAAAGAAAGAAUUCGAGAUGAAAGACCUAGGCAAGACAAAAUUCUGUUUGGGAUUGCAACUUGAGUACGUGAAUAAUGGAAUCCUUGUGCAUCAAAAGGCAUAUACUGAAAAAGUACUCAAGAGAUUCAAUAUGGACCAGGCCCACCCAUUGAGCAGCCCAAUGGUGGUGAGAAGCCUCGGAUUGGAUAGUGAUCCAUUCGGUCCAAAGAAGGACGAGGAAGAAGUUCUCGGUCCUGAAGUGCCAUACCUUCAGUGCCAUAGGAGCGUUAAUGUACUUGGCUAGCCACACUAGACCAGAUAUAUGUUUUGCCGUGAACCUCCUUUGUCUAAAUUUAGUUCAUGAUCAACCCAAAGGCAC
rnacentral:rRNA from 1 species